GGUUAAGCGACUAAGCGUACACGGUGGAUGCCCUGGCAGUCAGAGGCGAUGAAGGACGUGCUAAUCUGCGAUAAGCGUCGGUGAGGUGAUAUGAACCGUUAUAACCGGCGAUUUCCGAAUGGGGAAACCCAGUGUGUUUCGACACACUAUCAUUAACUGAAUCCAUAGGUUAAUGAGGCGAACCGGGGGAACUGAAACAUCUAAGUACCCCGAGGAAAAGAAAUCAACCGAGAUUCCCCCAGUAGCGGCGAGCGAACGGGGAGGAGCCCAGAGCCUGAAUCAGUGUGUGUGUUAGUGGAAGCGUCUGGAAAGGCGCGCGAUACAGGGUGACAGCCCCGUACACAAAAAUGCACAUAUUGUGAGCUCGAUGAGUAGGGCGGGACACGUGGUAUCCUGUCUGAAUAUGGGGGGACCAUCCUCCAAGGCUAAAUACUCCUGACUGACCGAUAGUGAACCAGUACCGUGAGGGAAAGGCGAAAAGAACCCCGGCGAGGGGAGUGAAAAAGAACCUGAAACCGUGUACGUACAAGCAGUGGGAGCCUCUUAAUGGGGUGACUGCGUACCUUUUGUAUAAUGGGUCAGCGACUUAUAUUCUGUAGCAAGGUUAACCGAAUAGGGGAGCCGAAGGGAAACCGAGUCUUAACUGGGCGUUAAGUUGCAGGGUAUAGACCCGAAACCCGGUGAUCUAGCCAUGGGCAGGUUGAAGGUUGGGUAACACUAACUGGAGGACCGAACCGACUAAUGUUGAAAAAUUAGCGGAUGACUUGUGGCUGGGGGUGAAAGGCCAAUCAAACCGGGAGAUAGCUGGUUCUCCCCGAAAGCUAUUUAGGUAGCGCCUCGUGAAUUCAUCUCCGGGGGUAGAGCACUGUUUCGGCAAGGGGGUCAUCCCGACUUACCAACCCGAUGCAAACUGCGAAUACCGGAGAAUGUUAUCACGGGAGACACACGGCGGGUGCUAACGUCCGUCGUGAAGAGGGAAACAACCCAGACCGCCAGCUAAGGUCCCAAAGUCAUGGUUAAGUGGGAAACGAUGUGGGAAGGCCCAGACAGCCAGGAUGUUGGCUUAGAAGCAGCCAUCAUUUAAAGAAAGCGUAAUAGCUCACUGGUCGAGUCGGCCUGCGCGGAAGAUGUAACGGGGCUAAACCAUGCACCGAAGCUGCGGCAGCGACACUAUGUGUUGUUGGGUAGGGGAGCGUUCUGUAAGCCUGUGAAGGUGUACUGUGAGGGUAUGCUGGAGGUAUCAGAAGUGCGAAUGCUGACAUAAGUAACGAUAAAGCGGGUGAAAAGCCCGCUCGCCGGAAGACCAAGGGUUCCUGUCCAACGUUAAUCGGGGCAGGGUGAGUCGACCCCUAAGGCGAGGCCGAAAGGCGUAGUCGAUGGGAAACAGGUUAAUAUUCCUGUACUUGGUGUUACUGCGAAGGGGGGACGGAGAAGGCUAUGUUGGCCGGGCGACGGUUGUCCCGGUUUAAGCGUGUAGGCUGGUUUUCCAGGCAAAUCCGGAAAAUCAAGGCUGAGGCGUGAUGACGAGGCACUACGGUGCUGAAGCGACAAAUGCCCUGCUUCCAGGAAAAGCCUCUAAGCAUCAGGUAACAUCAAAUCGUACCCCAAACCGACACAGGUGGUCAGGUAGAGAAUACCAAGGCGCUUGAGAGAACUCGGGUGAAGGAACUAGGCAAAAUGGUGCCGUAACUUCGGGAGAAGGCACGCUGAUAUGUAGGUGAAGCGACUUGCUCGUGGAGCUGAAAUCAGUCGAAGAUACCAGCUGGCUGCAACUGUUUAUUAAAAACACAGCACUGUGCAAACACGAAAGUGGACGUAUACGGUGUGACGCCUGCCCGGUGCCGGAAGGUUAAUUGAUGGGGUUAGCGGUAACGCGAAGCUCUUGAUCGAAGCCCCGGUAAACGGCGGCCGUAACUAUAACGGUCCUAAGGUAGCGAAAUUCCUUGUCGGGUAAGUUCCGACCUGCACGAAUGGCGUAAUGAUGGCCAGGCUGUCUCCACCCGAGACUCAGUGAAAUUGAACUCGCUGUGAAGAUGCAGUGUACCCGCGGCAAGACGGAAAGACCCCGUGAACCUUUACUAUAGCUUGACACUGAACAUUGAGCCUUGAUGUGUAGGAUAGGUGGGAGGCUUUGAAGUGUGGACGCCAGUCUGCAUGGAGCCGACCUUGAAAUACCACCCUUUAAUGUUUGAUGUUCUAACGUGGGCCCCUUACCGGGGUUGCGGACAGUGUCUGGUGGGUAGUUUGACUGGGGCGGUCUCCUCCUAAAGAGUAACGGAGGAGCACGAAGGUUGGCUAAUCCUGGUCGGACAUCAGGAGGUUAGUGCAAUGGCAUAAGCCAGCUUGACUGCGAGCGUGACGGCGCGAGCAGGUGCGAAAGCAGGUCAUAGUGAUCCGGUGGUUCUGAAUGGAAGGGCCAUCGCUCAACGGAUAAAAGGUACUCCGGGGAUAACAGGCUGAUACCGCCCAAGAGUUCAUAUCGACGGCGGUGUUUGGCACCUCGAUGUCGGCUCAUCACAUCCUGGGGCUGAAGUAGGUCCCAAGGGUAUGGCUGUUCGCCAUUUAAAGUGGUACGCGAGCUGGGUUUAGAACGUCGUGAGACAGUUCGGUCCCUAUCUGCCGUGGGCGCUGGAGAACUGAGGGGGGCUGCUCCUAGUACGAGAGGACCGGAGUGGACGCAUCACUGGUGUUCGGGUUGUCAUGCCAAUGGCACUGCCCGGUAGCUAAAUGCGGAAGAGAUAAGUGCUGAAAGCAUCUAAGCACGAAACUUGCCCCGAGAUGAGUUCUCCCUGACUCCUUGAGAGUCCUGAAGGAACGUUGAAGACGACGACGUUGAUAGGCCGGGUGUGUAAGCGCAGCGAUGCGUUGAGCUAACCGGUACUAAUGAACCGUGAGGCUUAACCUU
rnacentral:rRNA from 1 species